AGACUUCUCCCUUCGUCCUGAUUUACUUAUCGCACAAAUGUAUAAAAUUGGAUGUAUCUAGAACUAAAAUACAUCUAGAUACAUUCAUUCUUAUGACAAGUAUUUCCGAACGGAGGGACUACAUG
rfam:Hordeum vulgare subsp. vulgare, WGS project CAJW01000000 data, contig: morex_contig_60498